rnacentral:rRNA from 1 species
UACGGAGGGUGCAAGCGUUGUCCGGAAUCAUUGGGCGUAAAGAGCGUGUAGGCGGCCCGGUAAGUCCGCUGUGAAAGUCCAGGGCUCAACCCUGGGAUGCCGGUGGAUACUGUCGGGCUCGAGUCCGGAAGAGGAGUGUGGAAUUCCUGGUGUAGCGGUGAAAUGCGCAGAUAUCAGGAGGAACACCAAUGGCGAAGGCAGCACUCUGGGACGUGACUGACGCUGAGACGCGAAAGCGUGGGGAGCAAACAGG